rnacentral:rRNA from 1 species
GAUGAACGCUGGCGGCGUGCCUAAUACAUGCAAGUCGAGCGAACAGACGAGGAGCUUGCUCCUCUGACGUUAGCGGCGGACGGGUGAGUAACACGUGGAUAACCUACCUAUAAGACUGGGAUAACUUCGGGAAACCGGAGCUAAUACCGGAUAAUAUAUUGAACCGCAUGGUUCAAUAGUGAAAGACGGUUUUGCUGUCACUUAUAGAUGGAUCCGCGCCGCAUUAGCUAGUUGGUAAGGUAACGGCUUACCAAGGCAACGAUGCGUAGCCGACCUGAAAGGGUGAUCGGCCACACUGGAACUGAGACACGGUCCAGACUCCUACGGGAGGCAGCAGAAGGGAAUCUUCCGCAAUGGGCGAAAGCCUGACGGAGCAACGCGGCGUGAGUGAUGAAGGUCUUCGGAUCGUAAAACUCUGUUAUUAGGGAAGAACAAAUGUGUAAGUAACUAUGCACGUCUUGACGGUACCUAAUCAGAAAGCCACGGCUAACUACGUG